rnacentral:tRNA from 1 species
GAGGGUGGGUUUAACCAACAAGAACUGCUAAUUCUUGCAUCUGAGCUUGAAAUCUCAGCCCCCUUA